rnacentral:rRNA from 1 species
UACGGGGGGGGCAAGCGUUGUUCGGAAUUACUGGGCGUAAAGGGCGCGUAGGCGGUGCUCUAAGUCGGAUGUGAAAACUCUGGGCUCAACCCAGAGCCUGCAUCCGAAACUGGAGUGCUAGAGUUCUGGAGGGGGUAGCGGAAUUCCUGGUGUAGCGGUGAAAUGCGCAGAUAUCAGGAGGAACACCAAUUGCGAAGGCAGCUCGCUGGGACGGUACUGACGCUGAGACGCGAAAGCGUGGGGAGCAAACAGG